UCGACGGCAGCACGGGUGCUUGCACCUGGUGGCGAGUGGCGAACGGGUGAGUAAUGCGUCGGAACGUACCGAGUAAUGGGGGAUAACGCAGCGAAAGUUGUGCUAAUACCGCAUACGCCCUGAGGGGGAAAGUGGGGGACCGCAAGGCCUCACGUUAUUCGAGCGGCCGACGUCUGAUUAGCUAGUUGGUGGGGUAAAGGCCUACCAAGGCGACGAUCAGUAGCGGGUCUGAGAGGAUGAUCCGCCACACUGGGACUGAGACACGGCCCAGACUCCUACGGGAGGCAGCAGUGGGGAAUUUUGGACAAUGGGGGCAACCCUGAUCCAGCCAUUCCGCGUGAGUGAAGAAGGCCUUCGGGUUGUAAAGCUCUUUCAGCUGGAACGAAACGGUACGCGCUAACAUCGUGUGCUAAUGACGGUACCGGCAGAAGAAGCACCGGCUAACUACGUGCCAGCAGCCGCGGUAAUACGUAGGGUGCGAGCGUUAAUCGGAAUUACUGGGCGUAAAGCGUGCGCAGGCGGAUUGUUAAGCAAGACGUGAAAUCCCCGGGCUUAACCUGGGAAUGGCGUUUUGAACUGGCAGUCUAGAGUGCGUCAGAGGGGGGUGGAAUUCCACGUGUAGCAGUGAAAUGCGUAGGGAUGUGGAGGAACACCGAUGGCGAAGGCAGCCCCCUGGGAUGACACUGACGCUCAUGUA
rnacentral:rRNA from 1 species